GAUGAACGCUGGCGGCGUGCUUAACACAUGCAAGUCGAGCGAAGCGGCUGAAUUGAUUCUUCGGAUGAUUUUCAGUUGACUGAGCGGCGGACGGGUGAGUAACGCGUGGGUGACCUGCCCCAUACCGGGGGAUAACAGCUGGAAACGGCUGCUAAUACCGCAUAAGCGCAUAGAGCUGCAUGGCUCGGUGUGAAAAACUCCGGUGGUAUGGGAUGGGCCCGCGGCUGAUUAGGCAGUUGGCGGGGUAACGGCCCACCAAACCGACGAUCAGUAGCCGGCCUGAGAGGGCGACCGGCCACAGUGGGACUGAGACACGGCCCAAACUCCUACGGGAGGCAGCAGUGGGGAAUAUUGCACAAUGGGGGAAACCCUGAUGCAGCGACGCCGCGUGAGCGAAGAAGUAUUUCGGUAUGUAAAGCUCUAUCAGCAGGGAAGAUAAUGACGGUACCUGACUAAGAAGCCCCGGCUAACUACGUGCCAGCCGCCGCGGUAAGAC
rnacentral:rRNA from 1 species